GUUGAAUUCUGCUGUGAAUCCAUCUGGUCCUCGGAGGUUUUUGGUUAGUAGGAUAUUAAUUACUGCCUCAAUUUCAGAACUUGUUAUUCAUCUAUUCAGGGAGAUGGUACAGAGUGGAAGGAAAAGCAGGUGAGGGAUGGAACUGGGAACGACAGCCAUAUGCAUGUGGCUGGUAGAAAAAGUGGAAGAGAAAACAACAGGCUGACAAAAGGAGGAAGCCAUAAAGAGUUUUGAGAGUCCUAAUAGUUUACUGCUUACAGAGAUUAUUAGAGAGAGAAUCGCACUCUGUCACCAGGCUGGAGUGCGGUGGUUUUCUGUUCUUGUGUCAGUUUGCUGAGAAUGAUGGUUUCCAGCUUCAUCCAUGUUCCUGAAAAGAACAUGAACUCAUCCUUUUUUAUGGCUGCAUAGUAUUCCAUGAAGUAUAUGUGCCAUAUUUUCUUUCUCUAGUCUAUCAUUGAUGGGCAUUUGGGUUGGUUCUAAGUCUUUGCUAUUGUGAA
rnacentral:lncRNA from 13 species